GUAGGGACGUUACCAGGCGCCUGCGUAUUGCCCUUUUUACUAGGUGCAUUCUGCCGGAUGCUGGUGCCAUCUUGUAAUGGAGUUUGUGAGGACAGCUCCUCGGACAGCUCCUCACACUUCUAAGGAUGGAAGCAUCUUCACUUUGGUCAUCCUUUUUGAGCUUCAUGUGGUCUGCGGAUUGUAUUUUGGUUUCUUGGAUCUUUAAAAAGAAUGAGAACAUCUUGGGAAUUUGGGAUGCAAAACCUGUGAAAAGGUGAUAAUUUCUGUUGGAUAGCUUUAUGUCAACGUGACAGAAGCUAAAGUCAUGCAAGAGGGGAGAACGUCAGUUAAGAAAAUGCUUCCAUGAGACUGGACUACAAGCGAGCACGUAGUUUGUGUUCUUAAUGAUUGAUGGGAGAGGGCCCAAUUCACUGUGGGUGGUACCAUCCCUGGGCUUGUGGAGUUAAGCAAAGCCAUGGCGGAGAAAAUCAAUAAGCAUCACCUCUCUGUGGCCUCUGAAUCAGCUCCCGACUUCAGAUUCCUGACUUUCUUGAGUUCCUGCUCUGACUUCCUUUGAUGACGAACAGCGCUGUGCAAAUAUGCUGCACAUUUUCUUCAUACCACAAAGCUAUUUAUGAUUUCAAACAACAUUCUGUCUUGGGAAUUUUUCCCCUGAUGGCUAAGUGUUUUUGCAUCUUAAGUUUUUACUCACUUCAGCCUUACAAAGGAGGGAGACUUAGUUGUGUAGUCUCCCUUUCCUUUUCCCACCUCUCUCUUUCGAGUGGUCAACAAAAGCUGGCUUCUCCCUCAGAACACUGAGCACUCUACAGCAAGCAUUUAUCUACUAUCUAUUGGUUCUUCCCAAAUUCAGCAGCAGCAGCAACAGCAGCAGCAGCAGCAGCAGCAGCAGCAGCAGCAGCAGCAGCAGCAACAGCAACAACAACAGCAACAACAACAGCAACAACAACAACAACAACAACAACAACAACAACAACAACAGAACAUUCACUCUGUAUGAGCAAAACCACGUUUAAUCCCAGGAGCAGAGAGGAAGAGGCCAUGGAACUUUGCAUUGAGAGCAUCAGCUUCAUUAGCAAAGGAAGCCUCUAUGUCAGGCUUUGUGUCAGCCCUGCUGAGAGAUUGCACCUCUCUAGUCUCUUACUCACUUGACAACAAUCUGCUGAGGCUUCACAUUGUAUUUGAAAUUGGAAUGUCAUGCUUCCUCCUUUCUGAACUGUUCUAACUCCUUACUUUAUUUAUCUGGAGCUGGACCUUCCCCACUCCAAAUGCCCCAGUGCUCCCUAACUUAGAUGUCAGGAUGAAGGUCACCAAGCAGCCAUCACUGAAAACCAACACGUCCCAGUGUGAACUACUGCUCUUUUCUCUAGUGAGGCGGUGUGCAUUUUUGCAUUCCCUAAUCCUGUCUAAACUGGCCCAUGGCGAGCCUCAGAUGAUGCAUUACUAACGCUCCUUAGUAUUUCUUUGUACUGCAGGCAAUUCUGCUUCCUCUCUGAUGACCUAGAACAACAGCCAUCCCUUUCAUUGAGCCAUUCUACUCCUCACAUCACUCUCAUACAAAAUCCGUGCAAUUCUUCUACUUGGAAGAAGCCCUAUUUUCUCCAACAUUACAUUUCUAGCUCUGAUAUUUAUGCACGGUUUUAUCUAAGAAAUAAAGUUGGCAUACUUACAAUCUA